GACGAACGCUGGCGGCGUGCCUAAUACAUGCAAGUAGAACGCAGUUGCGAACGGGUGAGUAACGCGUAGGUAACUGCCUCAUAGCGGGGGAUAAGUAUUGGUAACGAUAGCUAAUACCGAAUACUGUGAGAUGGAUCUGAGUUGUAUUAGCUAGUUGGUGAGGUAAAAGCCCACCAAGGCCCCGAUACAUAGCCGCGCUGAGAGGGUGAGCUGCCAAACUGGGACGGAGACACGGCCCAGAGUCCUACGGGAUGCAGCAGUAGGGAAUCAUCGGCAAUGGACGGAAGGCUUACCGAGCAAAGCCGGGUGAGUUAAGACGGUUUUUGGAUCUUAAAGCUCUGUUGUUAGAGAAGCGUUAACUACCCAGAAAGGGACGGCUAACUACGUGCCAGCAGCCGCGGUAAUUC
rnacentral:rRNA from 1 species